rnacentral:rRNA from 1 species
GACGAACGCUGGCGGCGUGCUUAACACAUGCAAGUCGAACGGGUCUGCCCUGUUUUUUGCGGGGUGGGUCAGUGGCGAACGGGUGAGUAACACGUGAGUAACCUGCCCCUCACUUCUGGAUAACCGCUUGAAAGGGUGGCUAAUACGGGGUGUUCUGGCUGUGCCGCAUGGUGUGGCUGGGAAAGAUUCACUUUUGUGGUGUUUUGGUGGGGGAUGGGCUCGCGGCCUAUCAGCUUGUUGGUGGGGUGAUGGCCUGCCAAGGCUUUGACGGGUAGCCGGCCUGGGGGGGUGGGCGGGCGCACUGGGGCUGAGGUUCGGCCCCGACUCCUGCGGGAGGCAGCCGUGGGGGGUAUUGCACAAUGGACGGAAGCCUGAUGCAGCGACGUCGCGUGAGGGAUGGAGGCCUUCGGGUUGUGAACCUCUUUCGCCGGUGAAGAAGGUCCUGCUCUUUGUGGUGGGGUUGACGGUAGCCGGGUUAUGAAGCGCCGGCUAACUACGUG